GUGCUCACUUCAACAGCACAUAUACUAAAAUUGGAACGAUACAGAGAAGAUUAGCAUGGCCCCUGCAUAAGGAUGACAAAAAGAAAAAAAAAAAAAAAACAACUUCU